rnacentral:sRNA from 1 species
UUUGCCCUAAAAUAUUCUCUGCCUUCUCUAUAAAUUUCCAGCUCUCUGAACGGUUCAAUCUUGAGUUGGAAGGUGCUUAGACGUUCACCACACCGAAGGCUUCCUUUUGAACCGAUAGUAUUUUCGUUUGGACCGGGUUUGGAUUGAGUUCGCGUGUGUGAGAUACCAAAAAGGGGCGUCCUUGUGAGCUUGGUAAUACAACUCUAAGAAAUUGUUGAGGAGAUACUUUUGGAGCAAGAACUAGAGGACACUGAUGCUGUAGUGCAGUCUAGUUAGAAAUUUCCUAUUUGAACGCUUGAAGUGUUGAAUACUCUAAAC